rnacentral:rRNA from 1 species
AGUGAACGCUGGCGGCAGGCCUAAUACAUGCAAGUCGAGCGAAAAGAUAGUAAGCGUUCGCCUCUAACGGUGGCGACGGGCGGGCGGGUGAGGCGUACAUCGCCUACCUAUUAUUCGUGGGGGACUACGUAAGACAAGAUCCACUAAUACAGCAUAUGUUGUACCGGAGGAAUCAAUAGAUAUUGACAGCUUUCGUGUUUCUAUUAGACGAUGUCGGAUUAGCUAGUUGGCUUGGUAAAGGCCCACCAAGGCGACGAUGCGUAGCUGGUCUGAGAGGAUGAUCAGCCACACUGGAACUGAGACACGGUCCAGACUCCUACGGGAGGCAGCAGUGGGGAAUAUUGGACAAUGGGCGCAAGCCUGAUCCAGCCAUACCGCGUGGGUGAAGAAGGCCUUCGGGUUGUAAAGCCCUUUUGUUGGGAAAGAAAAGCAGCAGGAUAAUACCCCGCUGUUCUGACGGUACCCAAAGAAUAAGCACCGGCUAACUUCGUG